GACGAACGCUGGCGGCGUGCCUAAUACAUGCAAGUCGAACGCAGUGGGGACGGGUGAGUAACACGUGGGUAACCUCCCAUCAGAGGGGAUAACACUUGGAAACAGGUGCUAAACCGAUACUGAUGGAUGGACCCGCGGUGCAGUAGCUAGUUGGUGGGGUAACGGCUCACCCAGGCAACGAUGCAUAGCUGGCCUGAGAGGUGGAUCGGCCACACUGGGACUGAGACACGGCCCAGACUCCUACGGGAGGCAGCAGUAGGGAAUCUUCGGCAAUGGACGAAAGUCUGACCGAGCAACGCCGCGUGAGUGAAGAAGGUUUUCGGGUCGUAAAACUCUGUUGUUAGAGAAGCGGUAUCUAACCAGAAAGCAACGGCUAACUACGUGCCAGCCGCCGCGGUAAUUC
rnacentral:rRNA from 1 species